UGAAAUUAUUUUUCUACUUGAGUAGUUUUCAAUUUAGAUUAAGAAAAAUCUGUGCUCCGUUAGCGACGCUGCAGUAAAUCACAAGCGAGCAGCACUCCGCAGCUGACAGCCCGAUCGCUUAUCGGAUGCAAACCUUUUUUCACGUUGACAGGCUCCAAGUGUGACAUUGAGCGAGGGCAGUGGCACCCGACGGGGCGAUGCCGCGCGGGAGGCGCCCCCCGCACGCACCUCGGCGGCUGUGCUACAGCUGGCAAAAAUGCCCCGGGCAUGGGGGCUCCAGCAGCACGGGGCCACCACCACCCCCCAGCGGGGCUCCAGCAGCUCGCUGCAAAACUGCCAGCAGCCAAAAAGAGCCGGGUGGGGGAAACCCAGCGCCAGGCUGUUUAGAGACCCCACCCUUGGCUCUCCUGGGGUUCCAGCUCUCAGACCUUGGGGCCCCCUCCCCAGCGGUUCCACCUCACCACGUUCACACCCAUCUGUGCCCGCAGCACUGCCUGCACGGGGCAGGGGGCUCAGCCAAAAUGACCACACGCUCACCUGCCCAUCACACGGCAGCGACACAGCCACACUGUGACGGUCCUCAUCGCUGGGAGUGGGCCCCCAUUGUGGGUCCCCAUCGUGGGUCCCCAUCAUGGGUCCCCAUCCCUGUGCACAGCUCCGCACUGCCACCAGCUCUGUGCCAGCACCCUGCAGGAGAGUGCCCGGGCUGGCACCAUCAAAAGGAGCAUUUGACAGCACACAAACCUUUUUUUUCUUUUUCCCCUCUGGUUCUUCCAGCUCGUUUAUCGCCUCUGCAGGGCAAGCAGAGCUGUCAUUGCCUGAACCUCACUCAUCCGUUUAACCUUGGGGGAAGGAACGCAUUUGUGCCAGAUAACAUGCAUCAGAUGGUGGCACGGGGAGCGCCUGUAGCUGCUGGGCCUGAUGGAUGGGCUACACGGGCCUCGCCUGACCUGUGCUUGUAUGUUAUCUGCAUUGCUGCAGGAGGCUUUUCAUCACGCCGACAGCUCCAGCAUCACCUGCCUGGCAGCGGCUCCUCGCCAGGCGCCGGCAGCAGCGGCCAGGAGGGGCCCGGCCAUGUGGCUGGGGCCGGCACCGCGGCACCACGGCCCCCACGGGAGGCGGCGAGCUGGAGUGAGGGGCUGAGAAGCUGCGGGGCCCGGGGCAGGGCUGGCACGCUGUGCCUGCACCGUGUGCCCGGCUGCGGCAGGGCUGGAGCAGCUGGCGAGGGACGGCGCUGCCUGACUCCAUCUCCAUCCCUCCGGGCGAGGACCUGGCUCCUGCCGGGGUGCCCACACCGCAGGGAGCAGUCACGGCUCUCACCCACGGGUGUCGGCAAGCCCCGGCUCUGCUGCUCCGGGGGCCGUGCGCUGUGCCCCACGAGGAGCUGGCUCCAGCACGGCACCGGGGCUGCGGACGCUGCCCGAGCAGAGGCGAGCGCAGCUCCCGGUGCCGGAGGCGGUGGAGCAAAGGCUGGGAAUAAACGACUGUGUUUAUGAAGCCCGUAAUGUAGCCAGCAAAAUCAGUCACUCAGCACAGCGCCGCCGCGCUAAUGGGAGGUUAUUUAUGGCACUUCCCUGCUGCUGCAGGAGCUCGGCAGCCCCCGCUGCCAGACCUCGCACCCCGGCUCAGG
rnacentral:lncRNA from 1 species